rnacentral:rRNA from 1 species
UACGAAGGGGGCUAGCGUUGCUCGGAAUCACUGGGCGUAAAGGGUGCGUAGGCGGGUCUUUAAGUCAGGGGUGAAAUCCUGGAGCUCAACUCCAGAACUGCCUUUGAUACUGAGGAUCUUGAGUUCGGGAGAGGUGAGUGGAACUGCGAGUGUAGAGGUGAAAUUCGUAGAUAUUCGCAAGAACACCAGUGGCGAAGGCGGCUCUCUGGGACGGUACUGACGCUGAGACGCGAAAGCGUGGGGAGCGAACAGG